ensembl:lncRNA
GUUUUCCUUGGGGGGGGGGUGGUGCCUCGUCAUCAGUGUCCACACCUUGAAGCAUAUUUAACUCUAAAGGUCUGCACCUUCAAAAAAGUGUUGCGGCGGGCCCGUAGUGGUCUGGACUCUUCCAGCUGGCUCCUGCAGGGUCUUCAGCCUCUGACUGUAUGUCUGAUGUUAAACACAGUAAGGACUUUUUCAGCUAACCAAGACCCUCACGUCACCGUGCACGUCCCACGCUGCACCUGGAGGAAGGUGGUGCGCGACUGCCUUCUGGAGGCGGUUAUGAUCGUAAGAACUAGGAGGCCAGAAACAAUUCCAUGACUCCCCUGCCUCCUCCAACCAGCUGCUUGGCACUAUGAAGACAAGGAAUUAGGAUUGGUGAAGAAGAGGGAUGGCAACAUAAUGGUUUUGGUCUGGAAAAAGCACACAUUUUCUGCUGACAUCCCCAAGGAGCUCAACCUCAAGAUCAUCUACCAACGUAUGGACCUGAAAACAGCCUAUUCGAGAGGAGGGGCAGGGAUAUGUGAAAUGGGAUUCCUUGUACUCAAAUCGUCUGUAGAUGAUGAAGACUGAACCAGAGGAUAGCACAAUGUUUUGGACCAGUCCAAUAUCCUGUCCUACUGCUAUGCAGUUGUUCCCGGUCUUUGUUGACAGGCAGAAAUCUGUUGUUACUACCUUUCUGUACUGUUUGGCAGUACUGAAUUGCAGAGGCAAAGGACCAUCCUGGUGCAUUUCGUACAAAAGGGGCUGCUUACUUGGAGGUGGAGUAACAGUUUGAGGCACCUCUGACAGUCUCUUGACUACCUGUUGUAAUGGUAGUUGAGGCUUUCGCAACAUUUUUUUUACUUUUCCAAGGAAGUUUUCAUAAGGAAAUGCAGAGACACGGUCAAGGGCACCAAACUGUUUGUACACAUCAGCUAGAUGUAUCACCUGAUGAACUGUAAAUACAAUUUCUCCUUGACCAUAUAAAUCUCCAAAGCUUUUAACAAAUGCUGUUAGGACUCGAUUGGCAAAAUCAAUCAUGGGUGCAGAGAGGUUGGGGCUGAGUAAUAAGAACACACCCACGGAAAACAACAGGAAGUUCUCAAAAAUCUCUUCUGGUAGAUUGUGCUUUAGGACCACAGGUCCACUGUACAUCAUGAACUGCCUUAGUUCUGUAGCCUUCCAUCUUUCGAUCUCUGUCAGCUCUCGUGGUUUUCGGGCAAAUUCAGAUGGAAUAUGGGGACGGAGAGCAAUCAGUUUAGAUGAUAUAGCUGAGAUGACAUUAGAUGGCUGUCUUAUGGCCAGGUUUUUGCCCUUCAUCCAGAAAAUAAUGAGUUUUUUUGUUACACCCAAACAGCAGAGGUGCAUGUAAUCAAUGGGAAACUGGGUUACCAUCUGAACAAUGCCAGUAAGGGGACUAGGUCGCAGGUGGUGAUCUGUGUCUGACAUUAAAGCAAAGUCUUCGUCUGAUCUAAGCCUGGCAUUUAUUUCAGGAUAUGUCAUUUUAUUUUGCC